rnacentral:lncRNA from 1 species
UGGUGAUGUUGGUGUCUUCAUCAAAACCGUGUCAAGGUCAGGAGCAAGAUCUUCUUCACAGAUUGAUCAUGUUUAUAUACCAUGUUCGCACCAUCAGACUUGAUAAAGCCUUCAUGUUGUGUCACAUAGACACUCUCAAGAAAAUUUUCAUUAAGGAAAGGUGUCUUGACAUCAUUGAAAAUUUCAUAAUCAUGAUAUGCUAUAUAUCAAGUAAGAUCCUAGCGGAUUUAAGCAUAACAAUAGGGGAAAUGUUUCAUCAUAGUCUAUACCAUGAACUCCGUUGAAACGAUUAGCCAUUGGUUGCCUUAAAGGUAUUUACAUUACAUGUCAUAAAAGUCUUCUUUUUGAAGCUCCACUUGCACCCAAUAGGCUUUAACCCAUUAGGUGGUUAAGGAAUGUCUAUACCUUAUUAGUGUAAAUGGUAUCCACCUCAGAUC